rnacentral:pre_miRNA from 1 species
AACCAGGCUGAGGUCUUGACGAGAAUUUCAAUGAGAUUCUUGUACUUUGGCCUGGAAACAAAU